AGACAGAAAGCCCAACGAAGCAUUAUGUCCAAGUGGAAGAGCUGCCAGAACUGAUCUUUUAUGAUCAGGCAACCAUGUACAUCCAAGAUUGUAAGCAUUAAGAAGAACAUUUCUACUUGCAAGAGUAAUGUUGUUCUGCCAAGCAGCAAAACCUGUUUCUAUUCAAAGAAGUGAGGCAGUUCUGCCUAAGAUCACUGCCAUUCAUGUUCCUGCAACUUUCAGCAUGGUCAUUUCUCCAUCUCACUCAGAUGAAUCAUUAGUCUCCAUAGAUGAAUCUAUGUCAACUUCUGACACAGUGAGAACUCCGGAGGUCGAAUACAUAGAUGACAUGAAUUGGCUGCAGUUGAUUCCAUCGAGGAGAAGGCGUGUAGCACCCUCUACAUCUCAGAACAUGUCAAAGCAGCAGCAGUUAUAUGCAAGAGAGAUUUACUUGUGGACUUGGAAUCAGGGGAUAAAAUUGUCAGCGUUGAUAAAUUAUGCGCUACAAUGGGCCCGCGAGGAAGGAGAGCAAGGGCAGUUGCCUAUCUUGGUACUAAGCAUGAAGAAAACUGAUAAGAAAAAGAGGCCAGCUAUUUGUCUUCCUGCAUAGUACAAACAAAUGUAAAGAGUGGUUACGGCCAUUACUAUAGGCAUAUGCUUCGAGGGGUUACAUAGCUGUAGCAAUUGAUUCUCGAUACCAUGGACACCAAUAUGACAACAUAUCGUGAUGUAAGAACAGAAUUGUGGUUGCAAAUUUUAAAACAUUAUAGAGCAUGAUGGAUGUUGUCAAUAACAUAGUUGUUUCUGGAAAUGGGUUGGUUGGAAAUGGAGUUCACCAACGUCCAGAAGUUGUUGCUGGCAUACCCAAUGGGAUGCCUCAUGUAAGUUCCACUAAUGAAGAACAAAGGAGUUUCCAGAGCACUGUCAUACUGACUGAUAGUGAAACAGUUCGAUCUUAUGUCCAAGAGGUCAAUAAUGAAACUACAAUUACUGUAGAAAGCAAUGCUAGUGUCAGUUCCAAGGUAAGGGAGUUUUUCCUGAGUUUUUACUUACUAAGGACAAGCCCAAAGAUUGAGGCUAAUGCGAGGAGGAAAAUCCUGACAUAGAUUAGAUAUGAGGAAGAAUACUAAUGAAACCUUUAAUGGGCUCGGUUUAUCACUAGUGCUAAUGGUCUUCUUGCCAAAACAUUAUAUUGUAUAUAGGUGAAAUAUCAUUUUAUUUGUACACUUGUUCAAUCCCCUGCACACUUGCUAGAUAGCAUGAAAA